UCGGUCCACUCCGCCUCUCUCUCUCUCUCUCUUCCUCCUCCGCGCGCCGCCUUACCCCUCUCCUCCUUCCUCGACGCGGCGGCUGCUCCAGAUCUUCUCUUCCCCUCGCGGCGGCGUCUCCCGUCCAAUCCAGUGAACUAUCGGCUCAGUAAAAGGGGAAAAAGGAGGGAUCUUUUCUGGACAUUUGAAGCUUACGGACGACAAGUUAACAACAACUCUGCUACCAAGCUGUUUCUACCAUCCGUGUUCGUGUAA
rnacentral:lncRNA from 3 species